rnacentral:rRNA from 1 species
AAGCUUGCUUGUUGGGGUUGUAGGACACUCUAUACGGAGUUACAAAGGACGACAUUAGACGAAUCAUCUGGAAAGAUGAAUCAAAGAAGGUAAUAAUCCUGUAGUCGAAAAUGUUGUCUCUCUUGAGUGGAUCCUGAGUACGACGGAGCACGUGAAAUUCCGUCGGAAUCUGGGAGGACCAUCUCCUAAGGCUAAAUACUCUCUAGUGACCGAUAGUGAACCAGUACCGUGAGGGAAAGGUGAAAAGCACCCCGGAAGGGGAGUGAAAUAGAACCUGAAACCGUGUGCUUACAAGUAGUCAGAGCCCGUUAAUGGGUGAUGGCGUGCCUUUUGUAGAAUGAACCGGCGAGUUACGAUUUGAUGCAAGGUUAAGCAGUAAAUGUGGAGCCGUAGCGAAAGCGAGUCUGAAUAGGGCGUUUAGUAUUUGGUCGUAGACCCGAAACCAGGUGAUCUACCCUUGGUCAGGUUGAAGUUCAGGUAACACUGAAUGGAGGACCGAACCGACUUACGUUGAAAAGUGAGCGGAUGAACUGAGGGUAGCGGAGAAAUUCCAAUCGAACCUGGAGAUAGCUGGUUCUCUCCGAAAUAGCUUUAGGGCUAGCCUCAAGUGAUGAUUAUUGGAGGUAGAGCACUGUUUGGACGAGGGGCCCCUCUCGGGUUACCGAAUUCAGACAAACUCCGAAUGCCAAUUAAUUUAACUUGGGAGUCAGAACAUGGGUGAUAAGGUCCGUGUUCGAAAGGGAAACAGCCCAGACCACCAGCUAAGGUCCCAAAAUAUAUGUUAAGUGGAAAAGGAUGUGGCGUUGCCCAGACAACUAGGAUGUUGGCUUAGAAGCAGCCAUCAUUUAAAGAGUGCGUAAUAGCUCACUAGUCGAGUGACACUGCGCCGAAAAUGUACCGGGGCUAAACAUAUUACCGAAGCUGUGGAUUGUCCUUUGGACAAUGGUAGGAGAGCGUUCUAAGGGCGUUGAAGCAUGAUCGUAAGGACAUGUGGAGCGCUUAGAAGUGAGAAUGCCGGUGUGAGUAGCGAAAGACGGGUGAGAAUCCCGUCCACCGAUUGACUAAGGUUUCCAGAGGAAGGCUCGUCCGCUCUGGGUUAGUCGGGUCCUAAGCUGAGGCCGACAGGCGUAGGCGAUGGAUAACAGGUUGAUAUUCCUGUACCACCUAUAAUCGUUUUAAUCGAUGGGGGGACGCAGUAGGAUAGGCGAAGCGUGCGAUUGGAUUGCACGUCUAAGCAGUAAGGCUGAGUAUUAGGCAAAUCCGGUACUCGUUAAGGCUGAGCUGUGAUGGGGAGAAGACAUUGAGUCUUCGAGUCGUUGAUUUCACACUGCCGAGAAAAGCCUCUAGAUAGAAAAUAGGUGCCCGUACCGCAAACCGACACAGGUAGUCAAGAUGAGAAUUCUAAGGUGAGCGAGCGAACUCUCGUUAAGGAACUCGGCAAAAUGACCCCGUAACUUCGGGAGAAGGGGUGCUCUUUAGGGUUAACGCCCAGAAGAGCCGCAGUGAAUAGGCCCAAGCGACUGUUUAUCAAAAACACAGGUCUCUGCUAAACCGUAAGGUGAUGUAUAGGGGCUGACGCCUGCCCGGUGCUGGAAGGUUAAGAGGAGUGGUUAGCUUCUGCGAAGCUACGAAUCGAAGCCCCAGUAAACGGCGGCCGUAACUAUAACGGUCCUAAGGUAGCGAAAUUCCUUGUCGGGUAAGUUCCGACCCGCACGAAAGGCGUAACGAUUUGGGCACUGUCUCAACGAGAGACUCGGUGAAAUCAUAGUACCUGUGAAGAUGCAGGUUACCCGCGACAGGACGGAAAGACCCCGUGGAGCUUUACUGUAGCCUGAUAUUGAAAUUCGGCACAGCUUGUACAGGAUAGGUAGGAGCCUUUGAAACGUGAGCGCUAGCUUACGUGGAGGCGCUGGUGGGAUACUACCCUAGCUGUGUUGGCUUUCUAACCCGCACCACUUAUCGUGGUGGGAGACAGUGUCA